AUUGAACGCUGGCGGCAUGCUUUACACAUGCAAGUCGAACGGUAACAGGGAGCUUGCUCCGCUGACGAGUGGCGAACGGGUGAGUAAUGCAUCGGAACGUACCCAGUCGUGGGGGAUAACGUAGCGAAAGUUACGCUAAUACCGCAUACGUCCUGAGGGAGAAAGCGGGGGACCGUAAGGCCUCGCGCGAUUGGAGCGGCCGAUGUCGGAUUAGCUAGUUGGUAGGGUAAAGGCCUACCAAGGCGACGAUCCGUAGCGGGUCUGAGAGGAUGAUCAGUCAGACUGGAACUGAGACACGGUCCAGACUCCUACGGGAGGCAGCAGUAAGGAAUCUUCCACAAUGGGCGAAAGCCUGAUGGAGCAACACCGCGUGCAGGAUGAAGGCCCUCGGGUCGUAAACUGCUUUUAUAAGUGAAGAAUAUGACGGUAACUUAUGAAUAAGGGUCGGCUAACUACGUGCCAGCAGCCGCGGUAAU
rnacentral:rRNA from 1 species